CAUGAACCGUGUGGGGUCCUGAGGACCGAGUUUGAGAACCUGUGGUCUAGAAGGAGCUAGAUAAAUGGUUGUGUGCGUUCAUAUAUUUCCUGUCAAAAUUGUAUCUUGCCCUCCCGCAGCUGCUUGGGGACCAUCACACACGUCUCACCACUCUUCCCAUUCAGUCACUGGCCUUAAUUUCCUUUGCUGCUUAAUCAAUGUGACAGCCGGCUUGUCCCUUAUGUCAGGAGUGGGUCUCAGGAAAUAAUACCCAGAUAUAUUCCUCGAGUCUUAAGGCCCACACACAUUAGACGAUGUCGCUCUGUGAGCGACAUCGUCUAAUGUUUCCCCCUCCCGGGCCGGCUGGUCGGCGGCCGACUGUACACACUGAGCGAUAUGACCGCUCAUAUCGCUCAGUGACGUCACGCCUCCGCCAGCCCAGCAUGAAGGUCAUGGACGACAGUCCACAUCCUUCAUGCAUGCCCUACCGACAGCGUCGAUCGUUGCCGACCCGCGGGGCCGCGCAUUGGUCGUCGCUGGCGGCAUACACACUUGACGAUAAAAUGAGCGACGUCGCUCAAGGAGGGGGAAAAUGAGCGACGUUGCUCAUUUUAUCGUUAAGUGUGUAUGGGCCUUAAGAACCCCUAGUAAGACUCGUGAAGAACUAACCUCCCCAAUAACUGGUGGUAAACCUGGGUGGAAGCCCCGCAUCAGAGAAGAGGAGAGGCUUCCCCGUUCCGACACACCUGUCAGCACCUUACCAGUCCCAGCACCUGCAGCCAUCAGCGGUAAUAUAAUGUAAAAUAAAACAAACCAACUAAAAU